GUUUUUCAUGAUAAAAGUUCACGGAAAAUUCCGAGUAAUAUCGAAAUAGUCAAUUGCGAACGUUCAAUUCGGUAUUCGAUCAUUGCAGCGUCUCGUAGGUAGAUCCUCCUUUUCCGAGGCAGCGGCAGUAUGGCCUGAGCAGCCGGAGCGACGUUGUCAUCGGGAGCGACAUCGAUGGUAGCGAGUACAUCCUUUGAGAAGAGAGAGGAGAAGCCAGCGAGGAGAGAGAGACACGUAUUUGGGUGAGGAUUAGCAAUGGAUUAGUACGCAGUUACUACAGCGCCAUAAAUUUUGUUGACAACGAGUCCGGUGUCCAGUUUUGAUCCAGCCGUGACUCGGGAAGUAGUGUUUCGUUUGAUCUACAUAUUUUAAAAAAGUGCUUGACAAUCGGUAGCUAGUGAAAAAACUAUAUCAGUGGAAAUUUCGUGAAUUCCGUAACUCGGAGAUUCUUCCAUAAGCACUGGUCUUCCGUCUUGGAUACAACGGCAGUUCAGCUUCAGCGGCAGAAGCGGCGACUUCAGGAGCGACAUCAGUAGCAACGCAGUCUCCUUAGAGCGACGAUGGAGAGAGGCAACGGUACUCGGAUAUGCUGUCGCCGCAGUUAUGACCCCCUGGACUUCUCCUGUUCAUCAGGGGGAGUCCAGGGACUCGUCCCCUGGGACUGCGCGGCCUCCCACC